AGAAGUUCAAUGUAUUGAUGGAGAAGCUCUGUAAAGAGGAGCUGGCAGCCACCACGUCCAUGGCUUAUGCCAAGCUCAUGCUGACAGUGAUGACCAAGUAUCAGGCCAAUAUCACUGAGACCCAGAGGCUGAGCCUGGCCACCCCCCUAGCACUCAACACCACUUUCCUGAGGAAGUCUCUGCAGGCCACCCUGAGACAUCUGGCCCCCUGACCUUCCACUGAGGGACCCAACCCCCUAGAGCUCUCUCACCAGCUUCCUGAACAACACUUCUGCCCUCACCACCUCUUGCCUGGGGGAAAGGCUGAGCCUGGCCAUCCCGGGGAUCAACUGCCUCCCUGUUCCAGGCUGCAGAGAAGCCAUCUUGGUCUCCCAGGCACCCGGGAGGGUCCUGGCUAAGUGGGCUGGAUGAGCUGGAUUCCAAGGGCUGCUGAUACUGGCUCACUCCUUGUCACUUCUACCUAGCUGCAGGGAUAGAAACGUACCCAUAGGCCUCUGUAGGGUCACAGCCAACCCAUAAUAGACAAAUAAUGCUGCAGGAGCUCUGGGGGACCUGUGUGCUCAGCACAAAUCUCUUGUGCUUGGAUGUAUGUUACGAUCUUCUGUGUUCUUAUUUCUGACUUGAAUGAUAAUUUAUCAAUGGAAUUUAAUAAAAAGCAAGAAGUUCAAUAAUG